rnacentral:rRNA from 1 species
GGCGCACGGGUGCGUAACGCGUGGGAAUCUACCCUUAGGUUCGGAAUAACUCAGAGAAAUUUGAGCUAAUACCGGAUGAUGACGUAAGUCCAAAGAUUUAUCGCCUAAGGAUGAGCCCGCGUAGGAUUAGCUAGUUGGUGUGGUAAAAGCGCACCAAGGCGACGAUCCUUAGCUGGUCUGAGAGGAUGAUCAGCCACACUGGGACUGAGACACGGCCCAGACUCCUACGGGAGGCAGCAGUGGGGAAUAUUGGACAAUGGGCGAAAGCCUGAUCCAGCAAUGCCGCGUGAGUGAUGAAGGCCUUAGGGUUGUAAAGCUCUUUUACCCGGGAUGAUAAUGACAGUACCGGGAGAAUAAGCUCCGGCUAACUCCGUGCCAGCAGCCGCGGUAAUACGGAGGGAGCUAGCGUUGUUCGGAAUUACUGGGCGUAAAGCGUACGUAGGCGGCUUUGUAAGUAAGAGGUGAAAGCCUGGAGCUCAACUCCAGAACUGCCUUUUAGACUGCAUCGCUUGAAUCCAGGAGAGGUGAGUGGAAUUCCGAGUGUAGAGGUGAAAUUCGUAGAUAUUCGGAAGAACACCAGUGGCGAAGGCGGCUCACUGG